GUAGUGGCGGUUCAGUGGUAGAAUCCUCACCUUCUAGGUGGGAGACCGGGGUUUGAUUCCCAGCCGAUGCA
rnacentral:tRNA from 1 species